rnacentral:rRNA from 1 species
CUGUUGCCUCGGCGGGGUCACGCCCCGGGUGCGUCGCAGCCCCGGAACCAGGCGCCCGCCGGAGGGACCAACCAA